rnacentral:tRNA from 1 species
UCCACUAGUUAGUUGGUAGAGCACAAAGCUCUUAACCUUGUGGACGUGGGUUCAAGCCCCAUGGUGGAG